rnacentral:rRNA from 1 species
UACGAAGGGGGCUAGCGUUGUUCGGAAUUACUGGGCGUAAAGGGCGCGUAGGCGGUACUUCAAGUCAGGCGUGAAAGGUUCGGGCUUAACCCGGACACUGCCUUUCAUACUGGAGACCUUGAGUGCGGGAGAGGCGAGUGGAAUGGUCGGUGUAGCGGUGAAAUGCGUAGAUAUCGAUCGGAACACCCAUGGCGAAGGCAGCUCGCUGGCCUGUAACUGACGCUGAGACGCGAAAGCGUGGGGAGCAAACAGG